rnacentral:rRNA from 1 species
AGAGUUUGAUCCUGGCUCAGGAUGAACGCUGGCGGCGUGCCUAACACAUGCAAGUCGAGCGCGAUUAAGUGGAGUGGAGACUUCGGUCAAAGCGAAACUUAUGAAAGCGGCGGACGGGUGAGUAACGCGUGGGCAACCUGCCCCAUACAGAGGGAUAGCCACUGGAAACGGUGAUUAAUACCUCAUGAGUCAGUAGGAGCGCAUGAGCUAGCUGACAAAGAUUUAUCGGUAUGGGAUGGGCCCGCGGCUGAUUAGCGAGUUGGUGAGGUAACGGCGCACCAAGGCGACGAGCAGGAGCCGACCUGAGAGGGUGAGCGGCCACACUGGAAC